AAACGGAGUUUCGCUCUUGUUGCCCAGGCUGGAGUGCAGUGGUGUGAUCUCGGCUCACUGCAACCUCUGCCUCCCAGAUUCAAGCGAUUCUCCUGGCUCAGCCUCCCGAGUAGCUGGGAUUACAGGCGCCCGCCACCACACCUGGGUAAUUUGUUGUAUUUUUAGUAGAGACAGGGUUUCACAUGAGACAAAUAUAAAAAAAAGCAAGAUAUUGUGAUCAUCUCAAUAAUCACAUUAAACAUAAAUAUUCUUAGCACAAUUUAAAGAAAGAUAGUGUCAGAUUAGAUUAAGAAAAGCAAGAUCCAAUUAUAUGAUGCUUACAAAAAAACCACUUAAAUGUAAAAACACAAAUAGGUUAAAGGUAAAAAGGUAGGAAAAGAUAUACCAUGCUAAUAGUAAUCAAAAGAAAGCUCUGAAGACCCAAUAGACUUCAGAGUAAAGAAUAUUACCAUGAAUGAAAAGGGUCAUUUCAUAAUGAUAAAUAAUAAAUUCAUAUAGAGGAUAUAAUAAUCCUAAAUACGUGGAGUUUCAAAAUACAUAAAGCAAAAUAAAUGAUAGAAAUUUAAGAAAAAAGGCCGGCUACAGUGGCUCAUGCCUGUAAU
rnacentral:lncRNA from 1 species